rnacentral:rRNA from 1 species
UACGGAGGGGGCUAGCGUUGUUCGGAAUUACUGGGCGUAAAGGGCGCGUAGGCGGUUUAUCAAGUCAGACGUGAAAGCCCCGGGCUCAACCUGGGAACUGCGUUUGAAACGGGUAGACUAGAGGCCGGGAGAGGAGAGCGGAAUUCCCAGUGUAGAGGUGAAAUUCGUAGAUAUUGGGAAGAACACCAGUUGCGAAGGCGGCUCUCUGGACCGGUUCUGACGCUGAAGCGCGAAAGCGUGGGGAGCAAAC